rnacentral:lncRNA from 1 species
CUAUUGGUAGCUAAGCAAGUAAGCAACAGAGAAAUAAGCAUAGUAUUAAGAGGAGAAAACUUUGACCGUAAAAGUCCGCAAUAACAACCAAUAUAUCAAAUUAUACAACGUUCAUAGUAUGGUCAUAACCCCCUAAAAAGGACUUUUAGUCAUUUAAUAUCUGAUUACAAAGCAAUAAUUCAAAUAAGAAAAAAGAAAUGAAGUAAGUAAAAAGCAAGAAAGUAAAUCCUAGAUAAUUUGCUCUUUGUUAUUGCUCUGUGCCUCAACAUUCAACAAUAUUUAUCUCCCUUUAAAAAUGAUUAAGGAUGAGCAUUUAUAAUAUUUAAUAAAAACAUCUAGAAG